CCCUUAGAUGUUCUGGGCCGCACGCGCGCUACACUGAUGCAUUCAACGAGCCUAUCCUUGACCGACAGGUCCGGGUAAUCUUUGAAUCUGCAUCGUGACGGGGAUAGAUUAUUGCAAUUAUUAAUCUUCAACGAGGAAUUCCUAGUAAGCACAAGUCAUCAGCUUGUGUUGAUUACGUCCCUGCCCUUUGUACACACCGCCCGUCGCUCCUACCGAUUGAAUGUUCCGGUGAGCUCUUCGGACUGCGCGGUCUGCAGUUUCUGCGUUCCGUGCGGAAAGUUGCGCAAACCUUAACAUUUAGAGGAAGGAGAAGUCGUAACA
rnacentral:rRNA from 1 species